rnacentral:lncRNA from 1 species
UAUAGUGGGAGUCCAAGAGGAUGUUGGAAAUGCUGGAGAAACGAACUUCUAAGGGACAGCAAGGGGACAGCUGUUGGGACCUCACACCAGGGCUCAAGGAUACUCAAUUCAGAUGUGGUCCGGAGGACCGCAGAAUCUUCAGCUGCAAGCCUGUCUAGGAGGAGACUUCCCACCCCACUCUGUGCAGACACUUGGAUUGUGGAUAUUUUCCACAUUUUUUUAACUGCUUUUUUGGGAAACUAUUUUCCUUCAGCCUUGGACCAAGGACAAAAGCGUCAUUACUUGCAGUUGGUGGAGCUAUCUGAGGCCUAUAACCUACCCAUCCCCUCAUCCCACAUUUAUGACUUCCUGAAGGCAGAAGGAAGAUGGGUACAAGAGUGGCACAGCAGGACAAUCUCUCCUCAGCCUGAGUGGCACAGGACAGCUGCUUUGUGUGGGCCAGGACAAAAGAGAAAGCAACCAAAGGGAGUACAAGAAUGUAGCUGAAUUCAACUGGACCAGCUCACCAUUGUCUUCCUGCCCUGGCUUUUCUCUGCCUGCUGCCUCAUUCCCUUCUGCUGACUGACCAUCUCCUUGGGAAGUUACCUGGUGGCCAAGGACUGCAGAGCCUCACGGCUUUUGGCUUCCAGUGCCAGAGAGAGGCUGAAUCCCUUUUCUCAAUUCCAGCUUGGACAAAUUUUGAGAAAUAAUUAAUAUGCCUAACUUGGUCAGAUGGCCAUCCCUAUGGUCAUGGUCAGGGCAUUCUCUGAAAGCACAGACCAUGAAGCACAGACAGGGUCACCUGGAACCCACCUCUGCUGGUCCCAGAAGAGAAAGAAUGGUUACGAGCCAAGCAGCACUCCAGUGCAAUCUACUGUGGUAAGGCAUUAAUCUCUGUGAAGACUGCCCUUGUAUCUCUGGAACACUCCCAGGAAGUGGCUCCAGGGUGCCCCCAAAAUGCCAUUGACUAUUUCAUUGAUUAAAACUAUUAUUUGUCCUCUUUUAAUUUGUGUAUUUAUUUUUCCUUUUGUGUAUUUAUUUUCUAUUACUUGUUACUUUCAGAUAAUAUAUUAAAUUAUAUUAUAAUAAGCAUCUGUGAACCACCGGCAGUGUGGCCAUAUUGCACAGUUCUAGGAGUCCCACUCACAUUGUAAUUCAUAAUGGUUCCUGGAGUUAUUCGAAUCCCAGCCUGUACAGUGAUACUAGAUGACCUUGCUCACCACCCAUUCCAGAACUAGACCGCUAAUCAAAACACACAUGUACUCCUUCCCAUCCUCUCCUUCUGCCUCUUCUCUCCUAAAGAGCUAACCACAACCUUCUUUUUAAAUAUAGUUUACAUAUAUAUGCCUGCUGUGGCAGACGGUAUUUUCCAAAGAUGACCUCAACAAUAUUUCCCACUUAUAAGCUCAUCUUGCCAAAUGACUUUAAUACUUCUCACAUUAAAGUAAAGGGUCUAUGUCUUCUCCUUGAAUCUGUGCAGGCCUUUGUGACUGCCUCUAUCAGUAUGAAGGAGCUUAUGUUGUGUCAUCUCCAAGGCUAAGUCGAAAAAUGCUGUGCACUUUUAUCUUGCUUUCCUGGGGUGCUCCCUCUAAGGGAAGGAGGCAGACAUUUAAGCAGUCUACCUACUUAUUCUAUCUCCUUACUUGCUAUCUUUAGUUAGCUUGGGCUGCUAUAACAAAAAUGCCAUAGGUGGUAUGGCUUAAAUAACAAACAUUUCUCACACUUCUGGGGACUGGGAAGUCUAAGAUCAAGUGCCAGCUGAUUUGGUUCCUGGUGAAGACCCUCUUUCUAGUUGGCAGAUAGAUCCCUUGUUGUAUAUUCACAUGAUGUGGCAGAAAGUGAGUGUUGGUCCCUUCAUCUCCUUAUAAGAGUACUAAUAUCAUCUUAGGGGCUCCAUGCUCAUGACCUCACCCAAACCUAAUAACUCCCAAAGGUCCUACCUCCAAAUGUCAACACACUGGGGUUUAGGGCUUCAACAUACAAAUUUGGGGAGAAUACAAACAUUCAGUCUUUAACACUUGCUAUAGGUUUAUUUAGAUUCUGUAUUUAUUGUUGAGUCAAUUUCAGUAGUUUGUGUCUUUCUAGGAAUUUUCCCAUUUCAUUUAGUUAUCUGAUUUGUUGGCAUAUAAUUGUUUAAAGUAUUCCCUUAAAAUCCUUUUUAUUUGUGUAAGGUCAGUGGUGAUGUCCCCUCUUUCAUUCCUGAGUUUAGAAACUUGGCUCUUCCCUUUUUUUCUUGGUCAGUGUAGCUAAAAAUUUACCUAUGUAGUAACCUUCAACAAUGCUCUUCAUUUCUUUACAUGGAGUCAAGCUAUUGCAAGAGUUCUUUCAUUUCAACCUGAAAGAACUCCUGAAAGAACUCCUGUUAGUAUUUCUCAUAGAGAAGUUAUUCUAGUUAUUUUUCAUUAAUUUUUUUGUUUAUCUUGAAAUGUUUACAUUUCUCCUUUUUUUUUUUUUUUUUUUUUUUUUUUUUUUUUUUUUUUUUUUUUUUUUUUUGUUGUUGUUGUUGUUGUUGUUGUUGAGACCGAGUCUUGCUCUGUGACCAGGCUGGAGUGUAGUGGCGCUAUCUCAGCUCACUGCAACCUCCACCUCCUGUGUUCAAGCAAUUCUCCUGCCUCAGCCUCCCGGGUAGCUGGGACUACAGGUGCACACCACCACAUCUGGCUAAUUUUUUUGUGUUUUUAGUACAGACGGGGUUUCACCAUGUUGGCCAGGAUGGUCUCAAUCUCUUGACCUCAUCAUCCGCCCACCUCUGCCUCCCAAAGUGCUGGGAUUACAGGCGUGAGCCACUGUGCCCAACCUCUCCUUCAUUUUUGAAGGAUAGUUUUGCUUAAUAUAAAAUUCAU